UUAUAUUUACUGCAUUUUAUUUAUAUUAUUCAUGAAAUUGGAAUAAUGGAAUAUAGCUCUUGUACAGGGUUUAUCAUCAACUAGGAAUUCUAUCUUGAUGCAUUUGUUACACAGGGUAGUGGUGUUACAACUAUUGGUUUUCAACUCAGGCUCAAUAAGGCAAAAUGUGGAACCAUUGUUCUAGUAAGUUUAAUCAUCUAUAAAAUUUAAGUGUAAUUAUAUAUAAAAAUGAAUAUCACUCUCAUUUCAGUCCCUCAAUUUUUGAUGUUACUAAGUUAGUUCCUAAUAAAUAUAAAUUACCAUUUUGGUCCAAUUUUUUUCAAAAUAGAACCACAUCAACCCUUCAUUCUUCACCCGUUUGUUAACGUUGAUGGAGUUGAUCAAGGGCACAUUAAGUGCUGACAUGACCACAUGUGGUGAUUCCAUGACCACAUGUGGUGAUUCCAUGCUCGAAAUUUAUCGUGCUCCUACGUAUCCCUAGAUCCAAUAGAGAAAUCAAGACUACAUAGUUCUGGUUUGAAAAUGAUAGAUUAGUUCGGUUGACUUUUGUUGAUUUGGAAAAUAUCGAUGAAUUUAGUGGAGUUGAUUUUAAUUGAUUUUGAAAUAUUCAUAAUAUAUCAUUGUUUUAAUUCAAUGGAACUAAUAGCUUAGAGACGGUGUCUUCCCAUUUUUAGAGAAGUUUGAGACGACUCGAACUAUGACCUUACUAUAAAAAAUCCGCAAAAUUCAGUAAGUGAUAACAUAGUUUUGAAUUAUUUUAUAUGAAAU
rnacentral:lncRNA from 1 species